UACGAGGGGGGCAAGCGUUGUUCGGAAUUAUUGGGCGUAAAGGGCGCGUAGGCGGUUUGACAAGUCUCAUGUGAAAUCUUCGGGCUCAACCCGAAGCCUGCAUGGGAAACUGUCGAGCUUGAGUAUGGGAGAGGUGAGUGGAAUUUCCGGUGUAGCGGUGAAAUGCGUAGAUAUCGGAAGGAACACCUGUGGCGAAAGCGGCUCACUGGACCAUAACUGACGCUGAGGCGCGAAAGCUAGGGGAGCAAACAGG
rnacentral:rRNA from 1 species